CGGUAAUUCCAGCUCCAAUAGCGUAUACUAAAGUUGUUGCAGUUAAAAAGCUCGUAGUUGGAUUUCUGCGGGAACGGAGCGGCCGGUCGCAACUUGCGACUCGAGCUAGCGCUUUCCCCGCAUCCUGCCGCGAACCGUGCUACCAUUAGCUUGGUGGCGCUGGGGAUCGGCUCGAUUACUUUGAGAAAAAUAGAGUGUUCAAAGCAGGCCACACGCCUUGAAUAAGUUAGCAUGGAAUAAUGACUAAGGACUUCGGUUCUAUUUUGUUGGUGUUCGGGACUGAGGUAAUGAUUGAUAGGGACAGUUGGGGCGGUCUGUAUUCCAAAGCGAGAGGUGAAAUUCUUAGACCUUCGGAAGACAAACAGCUGCGAAAGCGUUCCGCAAGGAUGUUCCCUUUGAUCAAGAACGAAAGUUGGGGGAUCGAAGGCGAUCAGAUACCGUCGUAGUCUCAACUAUAAACUAUACCAGCUAGGGAUCGGUCAACGUUUAAUCAUUCGACUUGAUCGGCACCUUAUGAGAAAUCAAAGCAUCUGGGUUCCGGGGGGAGUAUGGUCGCAAGGCUGAAACUUAAAGGAAUUGACGGAAGGGCACCACCAGCCGUGGAGCCUGUGGCUUAAUUUGACUCAACACGGGAAAACUUACCAGGUCCAGACAUAGUAAGGAUUGACAGAUUGAUAGCUCUUUCUUGAUUCUGUGGGUGGUGGUGCAUGGCCGUUCUUAGUUGGUGGAGUGAUUUGUCUGGUUAAUUCCGUUAACGAACGAGACCCCAGCCUGCUAAAUAGCGCGGUUGAGCUUUGCUCGAUGCGAGCUUCUUAGAGGGACUAUGAUGCGCGAUAGCACAUGGAAGUUUGGGGCAAUAACAGGUCUGUGAUGCCCUUAGAUGUUCUGGGCCGCACACGGGCUACACUGGCGCCUGCAACGAGCAUAUCAGCUGGCCCGAGAGGGUCUUGGCUAAUCUUUUGAACCGGCGCCGUGCUUGGGAUUGACCAUUGCAAUUGUUGGUCAUGCAACGAGGAAUGCCUUGUAAACGCGAGUCAUCAGCUCGCAUUGAAUACGUCCCUGCCCUUUGUACACACCGCCCGUCGCUCCUACCGAUGAAUGUUCCGAUGAAAUUUUCGGAGAGCGCCAGAGAACGGGGCUCUGCCUUGCAGAUCUGGAGGCUCAAAGUCACUUAAAUCUGAACAUUUCGAGGAAGGAGAAGUCGUAACAAGGUAACC
rnacentral:rRNA from 1 species